rnacentral:rRNA from 1 species
AACGAACGCUGGCGGCAGGCUUAACACAUGCAAGUCGAACGGGUGUAGCAAUACAUCAGUGGCAGACGGGUGAGUAACACGUGGGAACCUUCCUCGUUGUACGGAACAACUCAGGGAAACUUGAGCUAAUACCGUAUACGUCCGAGAGGAGAAAGAUUUAUCGCAAUGAGACGGGCCCGCGUCGGAUUAGCUAGUUGGUGGGGUAACGGCCUACCAAGGCGACGAUCCGUAGCUGAUCUGAGAGGAUGAUCAGCCACACUGGGACUGAGACACGGCCCAGACUCCUACGGGAGGCAGCAGUGGGGAAUCUUGGACAAUGGGCGCAAGCCUGAUCCAGCCAUGCCGCGUGAGUGAAGAAGGCCUUAGGGUUGUAAAGCUCUUUUGCCAGGGACGAUAAUGACGAUACCUGGAGAAUAAGCCCCGGCAAACUUCGUGCCAGCCGCCGCGGUAAAAC